rnacentral:rRNA from 1 species
CAGUAGCCGCGGGAAUACGUAGGGUGCAAGCGUUAAUCGGAAUUACUGGGCGUAAAGCGUGCGCAGGCGGUUGUGUAAGACAGGUGUGAAAUCCCCGGGCUUAACCUGGGAACUGCGCUUGUGACUGCACAGCUAGAGUAUGGCAGAGGGGGGUGGAAUUCCACGUGUAGCAGUGAAAUGCGUAGAGAUGUGGAGGAACACCGAUGGCGAAGGCAGCCCCCUGGGCCAAUACUGACGCUCAUGCACGAAAGCGUGGGGAGCAAACAGGAUUAGAUACCCGGGUAGUCCCUGUCUCUUAUAC